rnacentral:misc_RNA from 1 species
CAGUAGCUGUUGAAGUUGUACGAGGUAAAAAACGCAUAUCUAGCCAAUUAAUUUUCUUUUUUAAUUGAUAUUCAAUUCUUAUAACAGUAGCUAAGCCUUAAUCCCAAAUUAAUUAGGGUUAGCUAUAUGAAUCCUUUUUUGCCAUUCAACUCUGUUAGACACUAGAUCUACCUCAAUAUCCAAAACUUAUAUAUUUCAUUCCUAGAACAGAGUUUUAGAUUCAUUAACAAGUAAAAACUAAUAAAUGAGCAAUAAACUAGCUCUUCUACUUCUUUUCUACAAAUUCUAAUUUGAUUUGUAUUGCUCAACAAGAAAAACAAAGAUAUGGAUCGACAAUAAAUUGACAAGGAAGAUACUAAAUUUUCAAGAAUAAAUUCACAAUACAAGAGAUACCAUGCAUUGACAAUAGGGCUGUGCACGGUUCUCGGGGGGUCUCGAACCGCUAAGAACCAUACCAAACCAAACUUAUUUUAAUACUUUGGUUCAGUUCUGAUUUUUAAGUAAGAAUCAAACAGAAACUAUACCAACUGGAAUCGAAUCAAAAACCGAAUUUAUACAUAUAUUUUUUUAUGUUUUUUAGAUGUAUUAUAUACUUUUAAUAUAAUUAUAUAUACUUAUAUAUGUAUAUAUAAUUAUUAACUAAGUAUAACUUAAUAUUACAUUUUAUUUUUUUAUAUUUUCUUAAUAAUUUUAGUU